rnacentral:rRNA from 1 species
UACGUAGGGCGCAAGCGUUGUCCGGAUUUACUGGGCGUAAAGCGCACGUAGGCGGAUCCUUAAGUCAGGGGUGAAAUCCUGGAGCUCAACUCCAGAACUGCCUUUGAUACUGAAGAUCUUGAGUUCGGGAGAGGUGAGUGGAACUGCGAGUGUAGAGGUGAAAUUCGUAGAUAUUCGCAAGAACACCAGUGGCGAAGGCGGCUCACUGGCCCGAUACUGACGCUGAGGUGCGAAAGCGUGGGGAGCAAACAGG